AAGCCAGCCAGUGAGUCUGCUGACCUGAAUGUGUUUCUGCAGAAAUUUUAGAGAAAGCUGGCAACAGUCAAGCCAUGUGACAAGCCUUAAAGACUCGGAAGUCAUGAAGGUCUCUGAAAAUGGCUAUAAGA